rnacentral:rRNA from 1 species
GACAGAGGUGCCAAGCGUUAGGCGGAAUCACUGGGCUUAAAGCGUGUGUAGGCGGGUCGUUAAGUACCUUGUGAAAUCCCCCGGCUCAACCGGGGAACGGCUGGGUAUACUGGCGAUCUUGAGCCACCUAGGGGCAGUCGGAACAAGUGGUGGAGCGGUGAAAUGCGUAGAUAUCGGUGGGAACGCCAGUGGCGAAAGCGGCAAACUUGACCCUUCCUGACGCUGAGGCGCGAAAGCUAGGGGAGCAAACGGG